GCCUCGGUAGCUCAGCAGGUAGAGCAUGCGACUGUUAAUCGCAGGGUCAGAGGUUCGAGUCCUCUCCGAGGCG
rnacentral:tRNA from 1 species